CUGUUUAUAUCUGACCGUAGCUGCGAUUACUUUACAGCGAUUCGCGGUGCCGGAGGCGAGAGCGUGAAACAGCAGCAGGGUCCACGUGGAAGUUUGCCUGAUAUUCGGCUCAACAUUCAAAGACCGAUUCUAGCAGACCAGACUAAUGUGCUGACAAGCGGUAGUUUUGUACCUAUCGAGGCCAAUGUCAUUCAGCGAACCCCCGGACCAAAUCGACUGUCCAAGAAGAAUUUGAAAAGAUCGGCGGGGGUAGUGGUGGCUAUACCCUGCCCACCACUGACCAUAGAACAGCUACAAAUUCCUUAUAAAAAGGCUCGCAAGGAUGCCACACAUAAUGGUUUAACUCCGGAGAAUUUUACCCAGGUUAUACAGGCAGUCAUAAA